UUAUCUGCUCAUAUUUCAGACUUCAAUUUCAAGCCAAUUGGUUCAAGUGAUAUUUUUUUUAGUAUAUAUUUUCCCGGAACCUCAAAAUUUGCAGAUACAAAAUGAGUACCAACAAAGCCAAGCGAAAUUCUACAGUAAUCAAAACCAAGCAACAAAUCGUCUCCAAAAUAGACUCUGGCGUAGCAAAAAAAUCGUCCCGGCUAGUGCGCCCUUUUACCGGUAAUGAAAGUUUCGAGGAGCGCAAGGCAACCGUCAUACCUGACAAAACUCGCCCAAAAACCAGUAGUAGCUCUUCUGCACGCUCAAGUUCGCCUAAGCCGGAAAGUAGGCCCCAACAAGAAGUACAGCCGCGCAGUAAAAUCCCCGUUUAUCUAUGGAAAUCGCGUCCAGCAGCCACCGCUGCAGGGAAGAAAAACUUGAAAAACAAUGUUCCAAAUUCCAAAGAAACCGGAGAACACGGCAAUUCUCAAAAGAAUUUGGCCGCUCAGCAUCGAAAGCAUCAAGGUUCGAAAAGUAUGUUGAGUGGUGAUAAUACCGCUAUCGUCAAGGGUAUUCUGAAAGAAAUAGCCGAAGUUUGUGUGCAGACUGGACCACCAAAGUCGGAAGCGCAGACCGUCUGCCCUCCGUUUGAGGGAUCCGGCAGCAUUCCAACGGAAACGCAGACCGUGCUCGAGCAGCGCCAACAGCUUUCCGAAAUGCGGGAUAAAAAUCAACAGCUAGAGAUCAAAUGCGCUUACCUGCAAGAACGUGUUGUUCGACUGGAGCGAGAGAUCCAAGCCAAAGAAGCUGCAGCAAGUGAAAGAGAGAAGGAAACCCCAGGAAAAGAAGUCGGCACCAUGGAAGGGCAGAAGAAUAAAAUCGAUUGUGAAAAACAGAGGAUGAUUCACUCUUAACUGUUGAAAUACGCUGAGGCAAGCAAGAAGGCUCUUAUUACUCGAACAGAUGAGUUGUCUAAGCCAGAAGUGAGGAAUGAGGGUUUGCAAGGAAACACACCUUCCAAAGAGAUCUGUUCCAUACUUUCGGAUAUGGUGGAUGAGAUUCGAAAUCAAAAUGAUCAACUGUUCGACUUAUUGUGAGUCGAAAAUCAAGUAUUAUUAUUUUUGAAAUAUUUUC